GAUGAACGCUAGCGGCAGGCUUAAUACAUGCAAGUCGUGGGGCAGCAUGAGUAGCAAUACUUGAUGGCGACCGGCAAACGGGUGCGGAACACGUACACAACCUUCCGAUAAGUGGGGAAUAGCCCAGAGAAAUUUGGAUUAAUACCCCGUAACAUAUAGAGUAGGCAUCUUCUUUAUAUUAUAGCUUCGGCGCUUAUUGAUGGGUGUGCGUCUGAUUAGGUAGUUGGCGGGGUAACGGCCCACCAAGCCUACGAUCAGUAGCUGAUGUGAGAGCAUGAUCAGCCACAAGGGCAAUGAGACACGGGCCCGACUACUACGAGAGGCAGCAGUAAGGAAUAUUGGACAAUGGGCGAAAGCCUGAUCCAGCCAUGCCGCGUGAAGGAUUAAGGUCCUCUGGAUUGUAAACUUCUUUUAUUUGGGACGAAAAAGGGUCUUUCUAGACCAACUGACGGUACCAGAUGAAUAAGCACCGGCUAACUCCGUGCCAGCCGCCGCAGUAA
rnacentral:rRNA from 1 species